UAAAAGUCAGGUCGGAUUAAGCCAUAGUACGGAAAAAACUAUGCUACCUGUGAGCCCCGUCCAAGGACGUUAAAAGAAGUCAGGCCAUCACAAAUGCCACAGCUUGAGCAAACUGUGCAGCCUGUAGCUCCACCUGAGGAGGUGUAAAAAACCCGGGAGGCCACAAACCAUGGAAGCUGUACGCAUGGCGUAGUGGACUAGCGGUUAGAGGAGACCCCUCCCUUACAAAUCGCAGCAACAACGGGGG
rnacentral:lncRNA from 1 species